rnacentral:rRNA from 1 species
CACGGAGUUAGCCGAUCCUUAUUCCUUCGGUACAUUCAGCUACUUACACGUAAGUAGGUUUAUUCCCGAUAAAAGCAGUUUACGACCCAGAGGGCUGUCUUCCUGCACGCGGCAUGGCUGGUUCAGAGUUGCCUCCAUUGACCAAUAUUCCUUACUGCUGCCUCCCGUAGGAGUCUGGUCCGUGUCUCAGUACCAGUGUGGGGGGCCAUCCUCUCAGAUCCCCUAGUCAUCGUGGUCUUGGUGGGCCGUUACCCCGCCAACUAACUAAUGACACGCAUGCCCAUCUUAAUCCUAUAAAUAUUUGAUCAUUGUACAAUGCUGUACUGUGAUUUUAUGCGGUGUUAAUCCGAAUUUCUUCGGGCUAUCCCCCUGAUUAAGGUAGGUUGCAUACGCGUUACGCACCCGUGCGCCACUUUUCGAUAAGAGCAAGCCCUUAUCUAUCGUUCGACUUGCAUGUAUUAGGCCUGCCGCUAGCGUUCAUCCUGAGCCAGGAAACUCU